rnacentral:rRNA from 1 species
UACGUAGGGGGCAAGCGUUGUCCGGAUUUAUUGGGCGUAAAGAGCGUGUAGGCGGCCAUGUAGGUCCGUUGUGAAAACUCGAGGCUCAACCUCGAGACGCCGAUGGAAACCAUGUGGCUAGAGUCCGGAAGAGGAGAGUGGAAUUCCUGGUGUAGCGGUGAAAUGCGCAGAUAUCAGGAAGAACACCCGUGGCGAAGGCGGCACUCUGGGACGGUACUGACGCUGAGACGCGAAAGCGUGGGGAGCGAACAGG